GCUUAAAAUCCAAAGGACUUGACGGUGUCCCAUCCCCCUAGAGGAGCCUGUUCUAUAAUCGAUGACCCCCGCUACACCUCACCACUUUUUGCUCCCAUGCAGCCUGUAUACCUCCGUCGCAAGCUUGCCACAUGAGUGAAUCAUAGCAAGCCCAAUGGCCCCCCGCCAGUACGUCAGGUCAAGGUGCAGCCCAUGAAGUGGAAAGCAAUGGGCUACAAUUUCUAAUUUAGAACAAACGAACAACCAUCUGAAACUAUGGUCACGAAGGUGGAUUUAGUAGUAAAGAGGAAUAAUAGUGUCUUCUUUAAUAGCGGCCCUGGGACGCGUACAAACCGCCCGUCACCCUCUUCAACAGCAAAACCUUUAGUUAAUAACAGCCCACCCGCGUCUUAGAAGAGGCAAGUCGUAACAUGGUAGGUGUACUGGAAAGUGCGCCUGGAUAAACAAAAUAUAGCUUAGUAAAGCCCCCCGCUUACACCGGAAAGACAUCUGUUAAAACCAGAUUAUUUUGAGCCAUACCUCUA
rnacentral:rRNA from 1 species